GACGUAGGGCGCGAGCGUUGUCCGGAUUUAUUGGGCGUAAAGAGCUCGUAGGCGGCUUGUCGCGUCGACUGUGAAAUCCCGCGGCUCAACCGCGGGUCUGCAGUCGAUACGGGCAGGCUAGAGUUCGGUAGGGGAGACUGGAAUUCCUGGUGUAGCGGUGAAAUGCGCAGAUAUCAGGGGGAACACCGAUGGCGAAGGCAGGUCUCUGGGCCGAUACUGACGCUGAGGAGCGAAAGCGUGGGGAGCGAACAGG
rnacentral:rRNA from 1 species